ACCACAGCUUGCUCUUGUCCGGCUUUGGUGGUUCAUCGGUGCUACGAGAGUGCCCUCUCCUUCCUCCUAUCGCGACUCUCAUUAGUCGUGACCUUAACGGGUAGUCUUCCCGUUCAAUUUGAACGUCACGAACCUGGUUUCUGGUUUCCGAGUUGGUUUCUGCCUUUUGGUCGAGAUUUGGUAUUGGUGGGGCUAGGAUGAAAUUUUUCUAAGCCCUAAUUCCUGCUCUGACGCCAUGAAGAACGAGGGAAUUGGUUCUGUAUUACUUUCUUAAUCAUAAAAUGUGAAGUGAUUACAGUCUUUAUAGGCAAGACACUAUGUACAUAUGGUAAAUACAACCAAUGGAAAUCUCCCUAAUUUUGGGACGAGAUCAAUUAGGAAUCAA